rnacentral:rRNA from 1 species
CCGAGUCUUAACUGGGCGUCAUAGUUGCUAGGAUUAGACCCGAAACCGAGUGAUCUAGCCAUGGGCAGGUUGAAGAUUGAGUAACAUCAAUUGGAGGACCGAACCGACUAAUGUUGAAAAAUUAGCGGAUGACUUGUGGCUAGGGGUGAAAGGCCAAUCAAACUCGGAGAUAGCUGGUUCUCCCCGAAAGCUAUUUAGGUAGCGCCUCGGACGAAUACUACUGGGGGUAGAGCACUGUUAAGGCUAGGGGGUCAUCCCGACUUACCAACCCUUUGCAAACUCCGAAUACCAGUAAGUACUAUCCGGGAGACACACGGCGGGUGCUAACGUCCGUCGUGAAGAGGGAAACAACCCAGACCGCCAGCUAAGGUCCCAAAGUUAUAGCUAAGUGGGAAACGAUGUGGGAAGGCUCAGACAGCCAGGAUGUUGGCUUAGAAGCAGCCAUCAUUUAAAGAAAGCGUAAUAGCUCACUGGUCGAGUCGGCCUGCGCGGAAGAUUUAACGGGGCUAAGCUAUACACCGAAGCUGCGGCAAUGUGCUUUGCACAUUGGGUAGGGGAGCGUUCUGUAAGCCGUUGAAGGUGCAUUGUAAAGUGUGCUGGAGGUAUCAGAAGUGCGAAUGCUGACAUGAGUAACGACAAAGGGAGUGAAAAACUCCCUCGCCGGAAGACCAAGGGUUCCUGUCCAACGUUAAUCGGGGCAGGGUGAGUCGACCCCUAAGGCGAGGCCGAAAGGCGUAGUCGAUGGGAAACGGGUUAAUAUUCCCGUACUUCUUACUAUUGCGAUGGGGGGACGGAGAAGGCUAGGUGAGCCUGGCGACGGUUGUCCAGGUCCAAGUACGUAGGUGGAUGAAUUAGGCAAAUCCGGUUCAUCAUUAACACUGAGAUACGAUGUCGAGCUACUACGGUAGCGAAGUCAUUGAUGCCAUGCUUCCGGGAAAAGCCUCUAAGCUUCAGAUAGUAAGAAAUCGUACCCCAAACCGACACAGGUGGUCGGGUAGAGAAUACCAAGGCGCUUGAGAGAACUCGGGUGAAGGAACUAGGCAAAAUGGUACGUAACUUCGGGAGAAGGUACGCUCUUAACGGUGAAGUCCCUCGCGGAUGGAGCUGUCGAGAGUCGCAGAUACCAGGUGGCUGCAACUGUUUAUUAAAAACACAGCACUGUGCAAAAUCGAAAGAUGACGUAUACGGUGUGACGCCUGCCGGUGCCGGAAGGUUAAUUGAUGGGGUUAGACGUAAGUCGAAGCUCUUGAUCGAAGCCCCGGUAAACGGCGGCCGUAACUAUAACGGUCCUAAGGUAGCGAAAUUCCUUGUCGGGUAAGUUCCGACCUGCACGAAUGGCGUAAUGAUGGCCACGCUGUCUCCACCCGAGACUCAGUGAAAUUGAAAUCGCUGUGAAGAUGCAGCGUACCCGCGGCUAGACGGAAAGACCCCGUGAACCUUUACUACAGCUUGGCACUGAACAUUGACCCUACAUGUGUAGGAUAGGUGGGAGACUUUGAAACGCAGACGCCAGUUUGCGUGGAGUCGUCCUUGAAAUACCACCCUUGUAGUGUUGAUGUUCUAACUUGGCCCCAUUAUCUGGGGUGAGGACAGUGCCUGGUGGGUAGUUUGACUGGGGCGGUCUCCUCCCAAAGAGUAACGGAGGAGCACGAAGGUGGGCUAAUCACGGUCGGACAUCGUGAGGUUAGUGCAAUGGCAUAAGCCCGCUUAACUGCGAGAAUGACGGUUCGAGCAGGUGCGAAAGCAGGUCAUAGUGAUCCGGUGGUUCUGUAUGGAAGGGCCAUCGCUCAACGGAUAAAAGGUACUCCGGGGAUAACAGGCUGAUACCGCCCAAGAGUUCAUAUCGACGGCGGUGUUUGGCACCUCGAUGUCGGCUCAUCACAUCCUGGGGCUGAAGUCGGUCCCAAGGGUAUGGCUGUUCGCCAUUUAAAGUGGUACGCGAGCUGGGUUUAGAACGUCGUGAGACAGUUCGGUCCCUAUCUGCCGUGGGCGUUGGAUGAUUGAGAGGGGCUGCUCCUAGUACGAGAGGACCGGAGUGGACGAACCUCUGGUGUUCGGGUUGUGUCGCCAGACGCAUUGCCCGGUAGCUAAGUUCGGAAUCGAUAACCGCUGAAAGCAUCUAAGCGGGAAGCGAGCCUCAAGAUGAGUCAUCCCUGAUACUUUAAGUAUCCUAAAGGGUUGUUGGAGACUACGACGUAGAUAGGCAGGGUGUGUAAGCGCUGUGAGGCGUUGAGCUAACCUGUACUAAUUGCCCGUGAGGCUUAACCAU